ACAUUAUCCUGCUGAUGGUUUCUCUCUGGUUCCUGAGGCUCUACCUGCAUUACCUGGGCCAGUGGCUUUUCCUCCAGGCCAUUUCAACUCCUGUUACAAAAUUCCAUUUUUCUCUUCACACCAUUGAGCUUCGCUACCCA
rnacentral:lncRNA from 1 species